GCACCCGUAGCUCAGUGGACUAGAGCAGCCGAUUUCUAAUCGGCCGGUCGCAGGUUCGAUCCCUGCCGGGUGCG
rnacentral:tRNA from 1 species